GCUGGCCGCGGUGGGGCCUGCCUGUAGUCCCAGCUACUCAGGAGGCUGAGGCUGGAGGAUCACUUGAGCCCAGGAGUUUUGGGCUGUAGUGCGCUAUGCCAGUCGGGUGUCUGCACUAAGUUCAGCAUCAAUAUGGUGACUUCCUGGGAGCAGGGGACCACCAGGUUGCCUAAGGAGGGGUGAACCAGCCCAGGUCAGAAAAGGAGCAGGUCAAAACUCACAUGCUGAUCAGUAGUGGGAUCGUGCCUGUGAAUAGCCACUGCAUUCCAGCCUGGGCAACAUAGCAAGACCCCGUCUCA
rnacentral:SRP_RNA from 1 species